rnacentral:rRNA from 1 species
GUAGGUGGCAAGCGUUGUCCGGAAUUAUUGGGCGUAAAGCGCGCGCAGGCGGGGUCCUUUAAGUCUGAUGUGAAAGCCCACGGGCUCAACCGUGGAGGGUCAUUGGAAACUGGGGGACUUGAGUACAGAAGAGGAAAGCGGAAUUCCAAGUGUAGCGGUGAAAUGCGUAGAGAUUUGGAGGAACACCAGUGGCGAAGGCGGCUUUCUGGUCUGUAACUGACGCUGAGGCGCGAAAGCGUGGGGAGCAAACAGGAUUAGAUACCCUGGUAGUCCACGCCGUAAACGAUGAGUGCUAAGUGUUAGGGGGUUUCCGCCCCUUAGUGCUGCAGCUAACGCAUUAAGCACUCCGCCUGGGGAGUACGGCCGCAAGGCUG